ensembl:lncRNA
CUGUCAACAACCGAGGAAGACGGAUAAAGGAAAGCUGAUGGAACAGAAGGUCCAGAGGUUUAGUACGAAGGAAGUGAAGACGGAUAUCAAAAGGACGAAGAGUGAAAAGGCAGUUGGUCCAGAUGACACACCUGGGAUAUUUCCUGCAUCAUUUGGAUAAUGACUUUUUGAUGAUGUGAGUCGGUGGUUCCACCUCUGGGAGGAGCCACCGUAUUCCUGCAUGCUGUCCACACCAAGCCUCUCAGCAGCUGCUCAGCCACAGCUCUUGUUCACUCUACUCACCUGCCUGCUUCCCUGCCUCAACAUUUGGAUACCUUGGAUCACCACUGCUUGGAUUCACCUCCGCUCACCCUGACCACCUACCCCUCCACCCCAUUAUUCCACCUGCAGCAAUGACCCUGAAUCUACCCGUCCUGUCUGUCUACCCCUUUGCCCCCACGUCACUAAGUUUUCUAGUUUCACUGCUUCAUAGUAUUUAGUUGUGCUUCACGUUACUUCAUAGUUCUUGGUUAUAUUCUAGUUCACAGUACAUCAUUGACUUUUCAAGUGUUUCCCCGC